ACAUUUAUUGUAAAUAAAAGACUUUUUGGCUGGAAUUUCCGAUAAUAUUGAUUUUAUUAAUGCCAUGUGUGUAAGAAGGCAUUUCUUUGUUUAAGUAUAUCAACAUGAGGUCAAGGACUGCAUGUUCAAUGCAUGAUCAUCUAAUAACAUUAUCUGAUUGGUCAGUUCUUGAGAUCGGUAAUUAAUAUCAAAUUUCUACAUGUGCUCGGACAUGCGGUCAUUCGCCUUUGUUUUGGGAGAGAGAAAAGAUCGUUUUUGAAUUUUAUCUGAAAACCCUCCCAUUUCCCUCCCUUUUAAGCGUUAUUAUAUAGGACAUUUAUUUUUCUUUAAACAUCAAUUAAGGACAAUAUUCAUUGUAUUGUUUAUAUACUUUGUAUAUAUAUAUGUUGGUGAGUUAAUUUUUUCAACUCACUUUUAUUUUUGUCAUUUUUAUGAUGUUUAUUAUGUUAGGGUGUGGAACUUUUUCAACCCCACCUUUGCUUAUUAAAGUCAUUGUCAUUUAUGCAGUACUAUUAUAAUUGUUAAGAUGUAAGUUGCAUUUUAAAUUAAUUUCUGAAUAAAUGACAUUUUACUCAA